GGUCGAUGGUGGAAGAAUGGUCUAAAUCGUUGGUUUUCGACCGCUAAGACCCGGGUUCGAUUCCCGCAUUGAACA
rnacentral:tRNA from 1 species